rnacentral:rRNA from 1 species
UACGAAGGGGGCUAGCGUUGCUCGGAAUUACUGGGCGUAAAGCGCACGUAGGCGGCUCUUUAAGUCGGGGGUGAAAUCCUGGAGCUCAACUCCAGAACUGCCUUCGAUACUGGAGAGCUCGAGUCCGGGAGAGGUGAGUGGAACUGCGAGUGUAGAGGUGAAAUUCGUAGAUAUUCGCAAGAACACCAGUGGCGAAGGCGGCUCACUGGCCCGGUAUUGACGCUGAGGAGCGAAAGCGUGGGGAGCAAACAGG